UGUCUUUCUCUUUAGUUCACGUUCUCUUUUCCUCUUUCAUCUGUCUUUGCAUUCCUAUCUUUCCCUGUUCCUCUUUACCUUCUUCUUCCUCUUUUUUCUGUCCCUACUUCUUUCCUUUACAUUUCUCCAUUCUUUUAUCUCUCUGUUAUCCAUUCCUUCUUGCUCCACAUCUUUAUGUUUUUUCUCACUUUCCCUCUUUCUUCUCUUGCUUUUCCUGUUAAGAAACAAAACAUUAGAGCCUAGUCUUUGUUGCCAAGCAUGGCUGAAGGAGUAAUGCUUCAAAACCUAGAGGAUCAUGUCAAAUCAUUAGAGCAGAAACUCAGUAGCUUCAUAACAGAUAUAGUCAAAGAAUGGACAAAAUGCAUUUGGAAAUGUAGCAGCUCUGUCAAGAGAACCAGCAGAUCAUGGGUCAAAUUCUUGACAUUCUUGAUUUACUCAAGAAUCAAUGCAAAGGCAAGGUAUGUGGAGCACAACCACCAGAGUGUUCCAGUUUGAUUCAAGAGAAAGAUCAAUGCACUACUUUAACACUUGUGUUGCAUUGAAUAAGAUCAAAGAGGCUCAAAAAGAAAAUCAGCAGAAUUAAAUUUAAGCCACUUGAAGAAUUCAAUGUGGGAAGAAGGAUCAAGAAACCAAGUUAAUGCAGAAUCUUUAAUUCAAGAUGUGAGUAGCAAAAUUCCUGUAUUGUGAUGGUAUGACAUUAAAUGAUAACACCUAACGUCUUCUAGUCAAAAACUGUAUAAUUAAGAAAAGGUUAAAAACAUGUAUAUAUAUAGGAACACAAGAAAAUUAGAGACUAGAAUUGUCUUAAAAGGAACGCAAGAAAAUUAUAACUUUUGAUGCAAGAAUCAAGACCUGAACUGAAAACGACUAAAUCUGAAUCUGGUUCUAAAAAACAAAGAACUGAGGUUCUAGUUCAGGUUCUUAGGAAGAACCAAACCCGAACUGCACAUCCCUAAUUUCUUGGACACUCUGCUCAAUUGAAGUAUAGUUGAGUUCCACCUUCUCUCUGUCGUCUAAGGUUUGGUUGUUUAAGUUUUUAUGUUUGAUGUGUGUACAUGGUAAUACCUGUAUCAUAUGACCCUAAUGCUGGUUGAUAGAUUCAACAAUACCACUGUUCACAAUAAUCUCAUUAUACACAGUGCAAGUGAGG
rnacentral:lncRNA from 1 species